ACAUACCGCGUGAGGGAGGAGGCUCUUGGGUUGUAAACCUCUUUUUUCAGGGAAGAAAAAAAUGACGGUACCUGAAGAAUCAGCAUCGGCUAACUCCGUGCCAGCAGCCGCGGUAAUACGGAGGAUGCAAGCGUUAUCCGGAAUUAUUGGGCGUAAAGCGUCCGCAGGUGGCUUUUCAAGUCUGUUGUCAAAGACAGUAGCUUAACUACUGGCAGGCGAUGGAAACUGUGAAGCUAGAGACCGGUAGGGGUAAAGGGAAUUCCCAGUGUAGCGGUGAAAUGCGUAGAGAUUGGGAAGAACACCAGUGGCGAAAGCGCUUUACUGGACCGGAACUGACACUAAGGGACGAAAGCUAGGGGAGCGAAAGGGAUUAGAUACCCCUGUAGUCCUAGCUGUAAACGAUGGAUACUAGGUGUAGCUCGUAUCGACCCGAGCUGUGCCGAAGCUAACGCGUUAAGUAUCCCGCCUGGGGAGUACGCACGCAAGUGUGAAACUCAAAGGAAUUGACGGGGGCCCGCACAAGCGGUGGAGUAUGUGGUUUAAUUCGAUGCAACGCGAAGAACCUUACCAAGACUUGACAUGUCGCGAAUUCUGGUGAAAGCUGGAAGUGCCUUAGGGAGCGCGAACACAGGUGGUGCAUGGCUGUCGUCAGCUCGUGUCGUGAGAUGUUGGGUUAAGUCCCGCAACGAGCGCAACCCUCGUUUUUAGUUGCCAUCAUUAAGUUGGGCACUCUAGAGAGACUGCCGGUGACAAGCCGGAGGAAGGUGGGGAUGACGUCAAGUCAGCAUGCCCCUUAUGUCUUGGGCUACACACGUACUACAAUGGGGGGGACAAAGGGCAGCAAGCACGCGAGUGCAAGCGAAUCUCAUCAAACCCUUCCUCAGUUCAGAUUGCAGGCUGCAACUCGCCUGCAUGAAGGAGGAAUCGCUAGUAAUCGUAGGUCAGCAUACUGCGGUGAAUUCGUUCCCGGGCCUUGUACACACCGCCCGUCACACCAUGGGAGCUGGCCACGCCCGAAGUCGUUACCCUAACCGCAAGGAGGGGGAUGCCGAAGGCAGGGCUAGUGACUGGGGUGAAGUCGUAACAAGGUAGCCGUACCGGAAGGUGUGGCUGGAUCACCUCCUUUUAGGGAGACCUCUCUUAAUGAUUGAAGCCAACCCAAAAAAGAGCUUCAACAAAGAGCAUCCCAAGGUCGGAACUGUAAGGGAACUGGUAAAAAUAACUUUCAAACUAAACUUCUGUUCAGACAUGGGCUAUUAGCUCAGGUGGUUAGAGCGCACCCCUGAUAAGGGUGAGGUCCCUGGUUCGAGUCCAGGAUGGCCCAUUUCCCAAACAGGAAAGCCAGACCACGGAAAAAACCUCAGCACCUUAGAUGAGAAAAACAUCAGGAAUGCUGGAGUCAAUCCAGUAAAGCACCUUGAAAACUGCAUAGAUAAGUAGGUAGAAAAAAUUGUUAUCAACAAGAAAGUACAGGUAAAUCCGAGAAAUCUUACUGACAAUCAAUGACGAAAAAAGAAGGUCAAGCUACAAAGGGCUAACGGUGGAUACCUAGGCACACAAGAAA
rnacentral:misc_RNA from 1 species